rnacentral:rRNA from 1 species
GUGAAACUGCGAAUGGCUCAUUAAAUCAGUUAUCGUUUAUUUGAUAGUACCUUACUACUUGGAUAACCGUGGUAAUUCUAGAGCUAAUACAUGCUGAAAACCCCAACUUCGGAAGGGGUGUAUUUAUUAGAUAAAAAACCAAUGCCCUUCGGGGCUUCUUGGUGAUUCAUAAUAACUUCUCAGAUCGCAUGGCCUUGCGCCGGCGACGGUUCAUUCAAAUUUCUGCCCUAUCAACUUUCGAUGGUAAGGUAUUGGCUUACCAUGGUUUCAACGGGUAACGGGGAAUUAGGGUUCGAUUCCGGAGAGGGAGCCUGAGAAACGGCUACCACAUCCAAGGAAGGCAGCAGGCGCGCAAAUUACCCAAUCCCGACACGGGGAGGUAGUGACAAUAAAUACUGAUACAGGGCUCUUUUGGGUCUUGUAAUUGGAAUGAGUACAAUUUAAACCUCUUAACGAGGAACAAUUGGAGGGCAAGUCUGGUGCCAGCAGCCGCGGUAAUUCCAGCUCCAAUAGCGUAUAUUAAAGUUGUUGCAGUUAAAAAGCUCGUAGUUGAACCUUUGGCCUGGCUGGCAGGUCCGCCUCACCGCGUGUACUUGUCCGGCCGGGCCUUCUUUUCUGGAGAACCGCAUGCCCUUCACUGGGUGUGUUGGGGACCAGGACUUUUACUUUGAAAAAAUUAGAGUGUUCAAAGCAGGCCUUUGCUCGAAUACGUUAGCAUGGAAUAAUAGAAUAGGACGUGCGGUCCUAUUUUGUUGGUUUCUAGGACCGCCGUAAUGAUUAAUAGGGACAGUCGGGGGCAUCAGUAUUCAAUUGUCAGAGGUGAAAUUCUUGGAUUUAUUGAAGACUAACUACUGCGAAAGCAUUUGCCAAGGAUGUUUUCAUUAAUCAGUGAACGAAAGUUAGGGGAUCGAAGACGAUCAGAUACCGUCGUAGUCUUAACCAUAAACUAUGCCGACUAGGGAUCGGGCGGUGUUUCUAUUUUGACUCGCUCGGCACC